rnacentral:rRNA from 1 species
GACGAACGCUGGCGGCGUGCUUAACACAAGCAAGUCGAACGGAAAGGCCCUGCUUUUGUGGGGUGCUCGAGUGGCGAACGGGUGAGUAACACGUGAGUAACCUGCCCUUGACUUUGGGAUAACUUCAGGAAACUGGGGCUAAUACCGGAUAGGAGCUCCUGCUGCAUGGUGGGGGUUGGAAAGUUUCGGCGGUUGGGGAUGGACUCGCGGCUUAUCAGCUUGUUGGUGGGGUAGUGGCUUACCAAGGCUUUGACGGGUAGCCGGCCUGAGAGGGUGACCGGCCACAUUGGGACUGAGAUACGGCCCAGACUCCUACGGGAGGCAGCAGUGGGGAAUAUUGCACAAUGGGCGGAAGCCUGAUGCAGCAACGCCGCGUGCGGGAUGACGGCCUUCGGGUUGUAAACCGCUUUCGCCUGUGACGAAGCGUGAGUGACGGUAAUGGGUGAAGAAGCACCGGCUAACUACGUG